rnacentral:rRNA from 1 species
UGAACGCUAGCUACAGGCUUAACACAUGCAAGUCGAGGGGCAUCAGGAAGAAAGCUUGCUUUCUUUGCUGGCGACCGGCGCACGGGUGAGUAACACGUAUCCAACCUGCCCUUUACUCGGGGAUAGCCUUUCGAAAGAAAGAUUAAUACCCGAUAGUAUAAUGAUUCCGCAUGGUUUCAUUAUUAAAGGAUUCCGGUAAAGGAUGGGGAUGCGUUCCAUUAGGUUGUUGGUGAGGUAACGGCUCACCAAGCCUUCGAUGGAUAGGGGUUCUGAGAGGAAGGUCCCCCACAUUGGAACUGAGACACGGUCCAAACUCCUACGGGAGGCAGCAGUGAGGAAUAUUGGUCAAUGGGCGCUAGCCUGAACCAGCCAAGUAGCGUGAAGGAUGAAGGCUCUAUGGGUCGUAAACUUCUUUUAUAUAAGAAUAAAGUGCAGUAUGUAUACUGUUUUGUAUGUAUUAUAUGAAUAAGGAUCGGCUAACUCCGUGCCAGCAGCCGCGGUAAUACGGAGGAUCCGAGCGUUAUCCGGAUUUAUUGGGUUUAAAGGGAGCGUAGGUGGACUGGUAAGUCAGUUGUGAAAGUUUGCGGCUCAACCGUAAAAUUGCAGUUGAUACUGUCAGUCUUGAGUACAGUAGAGGUGGGCGGAAUUCGUGGUGUAGCGGUGAAAUGCUUAGAUAUCACGAAGAACUCCGAUUGCGAAGGCAGCUCACUGGACUGCAACUGACACUGAUGCUCGAAAGUGUGGGUAUCAAACAGGAUUAGAUACCCUGGUAGUCCACACAGUAAACGAUGAAUACUCGCUGUUUGCGAUAUACAGUAAGCGGCCAAGCGAAAGCAUUAAGUAUUCCACCUGGGGAGUACGCCGGCAACGGUGAAACUCAAAGGAAUUGACGGGGGCCCGCACAAGCGGAGGAACAUGUGGUUUAAUUCGAUGAUACGCGAGGAACCUUACCCGGGCUUAAAUUGCAGUGGAAUGAUGUGGAAACAUGUCAGUGAGCAAUCACCGCUGUGAAGGUGCUGCAUGGUUGUCGUCAGCUCGUGCCGUGAGGUGUCGGCUUAAGUGCCAUAACGAGCGCAACCCUUAUCUUUAGUUACUAACAGGUUAUGCUGAGGACUCUAGAGAGACUGCCGUCGUAAGAUGUGAGGAAGGUGGGGAUGACGUCAAAUCAGCACGGCCCUUACGUCCGGGGCUACACACGUGUUACAAUGGGGGGUACAGAAGGCAGCUAGCGGGUGACCGUAUGCUAAUCCCAAAAGCCUCUCUCAGUUCGGAUCGAAGUCUGCAACCCGACUUCGUGAAGCUGGAUUCGCUAGUAAUCGCGCAUCAGCCACGGCGCGGUGAAUACGUUCCCGGGCCUUGUACACACCGCCCGUCAAGCCAUGGGAGCCGGGGGUACCUGAAGUACGUAACCGCAAGGAUCGUCCUAGGGUAAAACUGGUGACUGGGGCUAAGUC